rnacentral:lncRNA from 10 species
CACUCUGUCACGUGUACACAGGAAAGGGCCCUGACAAGAGGAUGGGACUGCAGUUGUGGCUGCCAGGGCCCCGGCCAGGGUGAAAACAAGGAACAUUCCAGAGAAGAUCACAAGGAUGCGAAUAAAAUCGGAGCUGCACAGGGAUCUUUGGGCUGAGCUUUCUGUCUGGCUUCCCUCCUGGCCCCUCGUGUAUGCAUUCUCUCUAGCGGUGGGGAUUAAGGAGAAAACUCACGUGGCCAGUGGGUAGAGAGAGUCCGGGCAGGCAGCUGCCUGAAGUCAGCCAGAGUCUGCAUGUGCCCAGCUGUCCUGGCCUCCAGCAUCUCUGGAAAAACAGAGACAGAAUGAGUAGCAGCAGGGGACCCCAUAGGGCACAUCUGAAGGCCUGAGAGGUUGGAGUGCAGUGGCACGAUCUCGGCUCAGUGCAACCUCCGCCUCCUGAGUUCAAGUGAUUCUCCUGCCUCAGCCUCCCUAGUAGCUGGGAUUACAGGACAAGGAGAGGGACAAAUUCCUUCUUGGCAUCCUUAUGGCCCUGUGACCUGCUAAUGAAUGCUGACUCUGAGUUGCUACUAGAAUUUGGUUUCCUUGUGGCUUCCCAGGAAUUGUGAGCCAUGUUGGAUAAGGACCUGCAAGGGAAGAAUGAGGAAGCCUGGGACAGUGCAGGAGGGGAGAGCACUGGUGGUAGAGAGGAGUGAUGACAAGGGUCUCCGCCAAAAGGGAAAUGGAGGGGUUAAAGAAGCUGCUGGGGAGGGUUAAAAACAAUGUGUUCUCACUCGUAGGUGGGAAUUGAACAAUGAGAACACUUGGACACAGGAAGGGGAACAUCACACACUGGGGCCUGUCGUGGGGUGUGGGGAGGGAGGAGGGA